ensembl:lncRNA
AUGUGUUUGUUUAGGAUGUGUGGAAUGACAGUGCUUUUAGAUGAUGGUGGAGGUGAUGAAGACUUUGAUGUGGAUGAUGGGAUCCGGAUGCUGCCUCCUCCUCCGGCUCAGUGUGAUGGUGGGGUCUGGGGGGCCCGGCGGGGUCACUGUGGGUGUGUGCUGUGGACGCUGCUGCUGCUGCUGUGGAACGUCCUGCUGCUGCUGGGGUGUGUGCUGCUGAUGCUCCUGAUCUUCAGCCUCAUCCUGCUGCCCACCGCCCUGCUGCUGUACGCCGGCUUCCUGUGCCAUUCACGGGUUGUGGCUUCUCAGGCUGCUCUUUGCCGUUACCUUGACGACAACAGUUGCUCUGCCCUCAUCAUCCUGGGCUUUGUCAUGAUGUCUCCGCUCGUGGUGGUUGCUGCGGCGACGUUCUGCGCUAUUCUCAGGCGGCUCCACCUUCUCUUAUAUUUUCAGCCAAUCACAGCGGCUCGUUACCAAGGGCGGGGCUUGGGCUGGAAGCGGGACAUCCACGCCUGGGUUUGACUGACAGACACACCCAUUAUUCUCAGGUCAGCGUCAGAGGUGACCUCUAGCAACAUUUAUAGUGUAAAGGUCAAAGGGUGAGUGAUGUCACAGGACAGCGAUGGCGUUAUCGUAACUCUAUAGAAACACAAUCACAUGUGUAACACAGUGUUUAUAAUAUAUCCCUGAAUGACCAAACUAACUCUGGAAACAUUUCUAAGAGAAUCCUGUUUCAGUCACUUCAAUCUGUUCACAUGAUUGAGAAAUUGAUGUAAGUGUACUGUAUAUUUAAAUUGUGUUACCAUAUUACAUUAUAUGACUACUUUAUUUCCACACAUGCUAGAUUCGUCUGAUUGUGUGCAAUAUACGACGAUGCUCUGUGCGAAGCAAUCACACACAUGUACAUCAUCACAAUGAAGAAUAUCAUUUGUUCAGAAGAAAACCAAGGUGGAACAGACUUCUGCCGUUUCACUGGUUUAUGAAUAAGUGUAGUAGUUUAGAGAUGUGUUUGAUCGCUCAUGUUUGGUCAGCUGUAUGAGUCAAAUGUGCUGAAAUGUGAAUAAACCGACUGAUAUCAGAUCUGUGGUUGGACUUAUUUUGGAAAGUCUUGGUGAAAUCUGAAGCACGUAUUUAGAUCAGACGUGUCCCAUAAGCCAGCACUGUAAAAAUAUCUCUUAAUUAUAAAUUCAUGAGGCUCAGAAAUAAUCCUCGUGUACAGAACACCAGAGAAGGACUCUUAAAUCAUCCAGAAACUUUAGGUUUACUCAUUCUGUGUAGCUCUUAUCAUAAUGAUCAGUAUAACUCAAGUUGAGCUGAUGUCUGAGGUCAGACUGUGUGUGAUUUACAGAUGAACUCUCACACGGGUCACUUUUGAGCGUGUGAUUUGCAUAUGUGAAACUCUUAAUGCCGGGUUCCUCAGUUAAUGUGCGUGUGGGGGAUUUCUUCAGACUGAAUGUGUUGCUGUGCUGUUUCUCAUCUGCCCCCCGUGACUCUCAUUACCGUCUCUCAUUCACUGAGGACGAGGAGCUGCUGUGUGUGAUCGGAUCUUUAUCAUGGGUCGCCCACUUGACUUGAUCCUCUCUGAACAGAGACACAAACACCUUGUGUACUGGCCUCAACACGAACCAGCUCUCAGCUCAGUUAUACUGCCAUAACGUGACACGUUUCAGAGCCAAACACAGAGACAUCUCUUGUUCUCUUUGUUUUGCCUUAAAGCUGCGGUAGGGCACUUUUGACGCUCUAGCGGUUAAUAAACAGAACUGCUUACGUCUUGCGGAAGAACAUCGUAGCCGGAACUACUUCUCUCUGUUUAUGUCUAUGAAGAAUCACAAAGGUACUGGGUUACUCCGCCGCGGUACCCCCGAAGCAAUCUAAAAUAGUCAGGAUAUAAACACUUAUUAUAGGUGCACCCUAGUGAUUCAGGACAAGCCAAAAACACGGUUUGGAAAAUGGAUUCAUGGUGUACUCACUUAUUAUAUACAUUUUUCUACAUUUUGAACACAAACAAAGUUACGGACCGCAGCUCUGAUUGGUUGUUUUUUACCGGGAGCGAUGGAGUUUCUGCAAAUGGCAAUAGGACACUGGGAGGAGCCAGAGGAGGAUUAUCUGUCUCAUAUUCUACUGUCAGGACAUAAUGACAGGUUUAAUAAAUAUGUAAAAAAUAUAUAUUUACAAAAGUUACCUACUGCAGCUUAAAUACACCUGAAAAUCUCAGUUAAAGUCAUUAUUGUAUUAAAUGUGACAUUUCAAAAAAAGUAGCUGAUUUUAAAUAUGAAAGUAAAAGUGUCAGUAUGUGGCAGGGAGUCACUGUCUUAAUGAGUGAGUCAUUGAAUCAUUCACUCAAUUGAUUCCUUCAGAAGAGUCUUUACGAGUGAAUCAAUGACUUACUCGAUUGCUUCAAAACCUUGGAUUGAUCCAGUAACGAAUCAGCGCUGUGUGUCGAUCAGACACACACAUCAGUUCUAUUGAGACUAGAGAAACUGAUCAAAAACAGACAAUAUUAUGUCUUAAACACAAUGUGGACUUCUUGAUUCUUAAACUAUUGAAUAAAAUCAACAUAUUGCAGAAGUAAACAAAUGCAUAUGAUAUAUAGUCUAGUGCUGCUGUUCACGAGUGUCAGUGUGUUUCUGAUAUAAGAACAGCGUGUGUGUGUGUGUGUGUGUGUGUGUGUGUGUGUGUGUGUGUCAUGUUAAUUAGCUUCUCAAGAAUCUGAGAAAGAGCCAAAAAGAGUGUGAGUAUGAGUGGAUCUUCCCGUCCGCCCACCACGAGCGCAGAUGCCCUAAUGACCCUCCACGCCGCCGCUCUUCUCCCAUAAUGCACCGCUCUAACUCUUAUCAUCACCCCGCCGCGAGCUCUUAUCAUCACUCGACUCUCUUCAGCUGGAAAACUACAGCUCGACGGCGGCCUGAAUCCCGAUUAGAGUCGGGUGUUCAGCACUUUAAUGUGUUCCUCUGGCGCGUGAUUAACGCCCGGCUCGUUCGUCAGGGUGUAGGGUGUGUGUGGUUGUUCCCACAGUGAAAUCAGUCACAGAUCAGCCCUGUGUUCAUCACACCGAACAGAGUCUCUGAUUAGUGACGAGCCGCUGCUGGUUUGCAUGAAGUUAAACUCUGUCCCAUCACUCACAUCUCCAUCUCUCACUGAAAAUCAAUGGGUUCUGCUGCUUUUGUCACCACUAAUCGACACACAGCUAGAUGUUCCUGAACCUGAAUGAUCUCGGCUGUUUCUGUCUGAUUCCCUGCAUUUUUUUUCUCUCUCUGUGCAGAAGAAAGGAAUAAUGAAAAUGUCAUUUUUCUCCCCUCGCUUCUGGUCUAGUAUUUCCACUCUGCCAUUUUCUCGUCUCAGUAAAGGUCUUUCUACGUCAGAACAGAUUGACAGUCUUCUCUCGCCCGAGGAUCUGCUCAUUCUCUUUCUCUCUUCGUGCCUCAACCAUCAGCCGAAGAUUCAUUUCAUCCCAUUAAAAGUGUGCGUAAAUUCAUCCCUCACUCUUUGCCAUCAGGCUCACUGAAGGUUUGGGAGGCUUGAUUUUGGCCUGUGAAGUGGGCCACAGUGGGUGUUUGGGUCCAGCUGUGGAAAAGCAUCGAUGGCUCAAUUUGAGCCUGUGUGUGUCUUAAUCAGAGCUUUCGGAGAUCUCCAGAGAGCCACCACAAAAACACACUCCAGUUUACAAAUCUCUCUUUCUCUUUCUCUGUCGUUAUCGGGCU